rnacentral:rRNA from 1 species
ACGGAAGGCAGCAGUGGGGAAUAUUGCACAAUGGGGGAAACCCUGAUGCAGCGACGCCGCGUGAGCGAAGAAGUAUUUCGGUAUGUAAAGCUCUAUCAGCAGGGAAGAAAAUGACGGUACCUGACUAAGAAGCUCCGGCUAAAUACGUGCCAGCAGCCGCGGUAAUACGUAUGGAGCAAGCGUUAUCCGGAUUUACUGGGUGUAAAGGGAGCGUAGACGGGACAGCAAGUCUGAUGUGAAAGGCAGGGGCUUAACCCCUGGACUGCAUUGGAAACUGCAGACCUUGAGUGCCGGAGAGGUAAGCGGAAUUCCUAGUGUAGCGGUGAAAUGCGUAGAUAUUAGGAGGAACACCAGUGGCGAAGGCGGCUUACUGGACGGUAACUGACGUUGAGGCUCGAAAGCGUGGGGAGCAAACAGGAUUAGAUACCCUGGUA